UUUAGGGUUCCUGAAUUCGAUGAAUCUUUUGCCGUCCGCCAAUUUGAUCAUGUAAAUUAGUCAAUCCAUCGAAUGGCCUCUAUUCGUCGAACGCUAUCACCGGCGGCAUAUCACGACCGCACAUAUCAAAACGGCAUCGCUUCCACCAACUCUCCACUGUCAGUCGAUUCGCCCUCUCACAAGUUUUUUACCAGCAACGCCGCUAAGU
rnacentral:misc_RNA from 1 species